rnacentral:rRNA from 1 species
AGCGAACGCUGGCGGCAGGCUUAACACAUGCAAGUCGAGCGGGCAUCCUUGAGGUGUCCGCGGCAGACGGGUGAGUAACGCGUGGGAACGUGCCCUUCGGUUCGGACUAACUCUGGGAAACUUGAGCUAAUACCGGAUACGUGCGAGAACAGAAAGUGUUAUCUGCCGAAGGACAGGCCGGCGUCUGAUUAGCUAGUUGGUGAGGUUACGGCGCACCAAGGCGACGAUCAGUAGCUAGUCAGAGAGGAUGGUCAGACACACUGGGAGUGAGACACGGCCCAGACUCCUACGCGAGGCAGCAGUGGGGAAUAUUGGACAAUGGGGUCAACGCUGAUCCAGCCAUGCCGCGUGAGUGAUGACGGCCUGAGGGUUGUAAAGCUCUUUUCUCCGGGACGAUAAUGACGGUACCGGAGGAAUAAGCCCCGGCUAACUUCGUG